rnacentral:rRNA from 1 species
UACGUAGGGCGCAAGCGUUAUCCGGAAUUAUUGGGCGUAAAGAGCUCGUAGGCGGUUUGUCGCGUCUGCCGUGAAAGUCCGGGGCUCAACCCCGGAUCUGCGGUGGGUACGGGCAGACUAGAGUGAUGUAGGGGAGACUGGAAUUCCUGGUGUAGCGGUGAAAUGCGCAGAUAUCGGGAGGAACACCGGUGGCGAAGGCGAUCACCUGGGGUUGUUCUGACGCUGAGGAGCGAAAGCUAGGGGAGCAAACGGG